AUACGGGAGGCAGCAAUUAGGAAUCUUGCGCAAUGGGCGAAAGCCUGACGCAGCGACGCCGCGUGACUGAUGAAGUCUUUCGGGAUGUAAAGGUCUUUUGUGGGGGACGAAGGAAGUGACGGUACCCCACGAAUAAGCCCCGGCUAACUACGUGCCAGCAGCCGCGGUAAUACGUAGGGGGCGAGCGUUGUCCGAAUUCACUGGGCGUAAAGCGCGCGUAGGCGGGCUUUUAAGUUGUGGGUGAAAUCCCGAGGCUUAACCUCGGAGCUGCCUGCAAAACUGGAAGCCUUGAGGUUUGGAGAGGGAAGUGGAAUUCCAGGUGUAGCGGUGAAAUGCGUAGAUAUCUGGAGGAACACCCGUGGCGAAGGCGGCUUCCUGGCCAUAUCCUGACGCUGAGGUGCGAAAGCUAGGGGAGCGAACGGGAUUAGAUACCCCGGUAGC
rnacentral:rRNA from 1 species